AAAAGCAAACUGAGGGCCAUUAUCUUACGAUAGUUAAUUAAUUCAUCGAGUAGGCUAUCCAUUUCUUCUUCAAAGUUAAAAGUUUUUACUGUUUAUCACCACUGCCACCUCUUGUUGCCCGCUGUCCUCCGCUCGCGGACUCCGAACUUCCGGCUGGUGACUCUGUGACUGGUCGUAGAUGAAUUUACAGGUGGUAGAUGAACGUCAGUCGGUUUUGAGAAAUUGUUUAGAUAAAGAUUAGGUUAAUUGUAUUGUAUUUAUAUAUUUGUUUUGAGAGUUUUUUGUGUAAAAGUUAAGUUUAUUUGUAUUAUUCUGAUAUCUCUAUUAUCAUAUUAUUUUGUUAUAGUUUACAGAUGGUGGAUGAUUGUCAGAAGACUUUGAGGAAACUUUUGUGUAAAUGUUAAAUUUAAUUAUAUUAUUUUGA